ACGAACGCUGGCGGCAGGCCUAAUACAUGCAAGUCGAACGGCUCUUCGGAGCAGUGGCGGACGGGUGAGUAACGCGUGGGAAUGUGCCCUUUGGUACGGAACACCCCAGGGAAACUUGCGCUAAUACCGUAUGUGCCCUUCGGGGGCAAGAUUUAUCACCAUUGGAGCCGCCCGCGUUGGAUUAGGUAGUUGGUGAGGUAAAGGCUCACCAAGGCUACGAUCCAUAGCUGGUUUGAGAGGCUGACCAGCCACACUGGGACUGAGACACGGCCCAGACUCCUACGGGAGGCAGCAGUAGGGAAUCUUGCGCAAUGGGCGAAAGCCUGACGCAGCCAUGCCGCGUGUAUGAUGAAGGUCUUAGGAUUGUAAAAUACUUUCACCGGGGAAGAUAAUGACGGUACCCGGAGAAGAAGCCCCGGCUAACUUCGUGCCAGCAGCCGCCGUAAGAC
rnacentral:rRNA from 1 species